AACCAACGCUGGCGGCGUGCCUAAUACAUGCAAGUCGAACGGGGUAGCAAUACCUAGUGGCGCACGGGUGAGUAACGCGUGGAUAAUCUGCCUUAGAGUGGGGGAUAACUAGUCGAAAGAUUAGCUAAUACCGCAUAAGACCACAAGAGCUGCGGCUCAAGGGGUCAAAGGUUUUUCGCUCUAAGAUGAGUCCGCGUAAGAUUAGCUAGUUGGUGAGGUAAUGGCUCACCAAGGCGACGAUCUUUAACUGGUCUGAGAGGAUGAUCAGUCACACUGGAACUGAGACACGGUCCAGACUCCUACGGGAGGCAGCAGUAGGGAAUAGUGCACAAUGGAGGAAACUCUGAUGCAGCGACGCCGCGUGAGUGAUGAAGGCCUUCGGGUCGUAAAGCUCUGUCGCAGGGGAAUAACACAAUGAAUGUACCCUGUAAGAAAGGAUCGGCUAACUUCGUG
rnacentral:rRNA from 1 species